rnacentral:lncRNA from 1 species
AGCUGGGCCACUGUGGGCGCCACAAUGGGGUGGGUUCCCCGCCACAAUUCCUGGCCUUUCUUUCUGGCAUCCAAGGACUAGCGUCCCUCAGAGCUGAGAGGCUGAGUGAGGAACGUGGUAAGGACUUUUGAGCUCUCUCCGUGAGAUCUGGGACUUAGCACACCUAUGUGGUCCUGGCAAAAGGCUCCAGCUUUCCACAGCCAGGCUGUCCUUAGGAGCCACCACGUCCCCGGAGGCACGAAGGCCCACGACCGUCACUUCCUCCCCAAGUGAGUCUACAGAGGACCUAACACAGCCCUCCAAAGCCAAAGCAGCCUUCUCCUUAUCCACAGUGGAAUCAGCUGGGCCAGAAAACAGCUCCGCACAUCCGGCUGUUGGAGCCUGUCUGGGCUGGACACAGCUCUGGUCUUCCUCAUGAACGGUCUCCCCAUGGCUCUUCCUCUCCCUGGCCUGGCUGGGGCUCUAGUGACAGUUGCAGGAGGGAUGUUUUGGUCAAAGGGCACUAAGCAUCGUUUAUUAUCCCAGGAUUCCCCUGGGCAUUUACUGUGCCUGUCUUCCAUUGCUACCAGACUCAGAGAUGAGGGAAACAGACUCAAACAGCACGCGGUGUGGGGAGAACAGGGAGGAAGUCUGGAUGAAUCACGGUGCCCUAAAGCCUGGUUGAAGAGGCCCAGAGCAACAAGAGGGUAAAACCUAAGUGCCUUGAGCAGGCACCGGGUGAGACUCGGGAGCUGCCAAGGAGAGCUCAUGGCUCUUAAUGCUUUCUCUGUGCCAGACAUAAUGCCAAGGGCUUGGCAUGCUAGUCCUUAAGCAAACCUACGUGGCAGGUGUGAUUGCUGUCCCCAGAUUGCACAGAGUCUGAGGCUUAGAGGAGUUAAGCCACGCUGAUAAAUAAGACUCUGGGACUCAGAGCUAGGGUCUGAGUUCCAGGGCCCGAGCAGCUGAGAUGCCAACUCACGCCUUUCCCUCCCUUUGAUUCAGGGCCUGGUCUCUUGUGCCUGGUGAGUGACAGCAAGACAUUUAGUCAUCCGGGGUCUCCGUUUUCCUUUUUCUGUAAAAGGGGCUGAGCGUCCCUCAGGUUUAUGGAGAGUUUUGAAGGAACAAGGCAGAUACGUUGCUCAGCGAUGUCUGACCUGGAGCACACACUCCAGCCAAGUCACCCAUGAUGGUCUUCGUAAUCGCCAUGACCGGGCGCUCUGUCAGAGGCCACUCUCCGAAUGGUGCAUCCUCUGCAACUUUCCCCUCUCUGGCUCUGCUGCGUCUCCCCAGGGCUCCAACAACCCUGUCACUGAAAUCAGGUGGAGACCGAGUCCCAUUUUACUAAAACCAUGAGAAUAUGGUGAACAACAUGCUGAUGGUUUUAACUGCCUUAAAGGAUACAGCUCAGGGGCACUGAGAGCAGCCCUUAUGGUCGUCAUUGUCACCAAGACUUCCUUGUCUUCCCAGACCCCAACUUUGUCCCUUUUACACCAAGCACUGUCUCACCAGCCACCAGAUGCUGGCAACCUCUGUUGUCUGUCUCUACCUGUCUGACCCACCUUGGCACCUCAUGUCAGUGGAUCAUACAUCCAUUGAUCUUUCUGUGAUUGGUUUGUUUUCUGGAACAUGGUGUGCACAAGUGUUAAUGAAAUGGCACACAUCAGCAUGUACUCCAUUUUUGAGACUAUAUAAUAUUUCUUUUGUGGGUUUCAGUUAUUCAUAGAGAAACACUAGCCAUCUCCAUCCUUUUGAUAUAGUGAAAAUGAAUGCUAUGUAUUGACAUGAAUGUACAUGUGCUGUAUCUGUUGGAUUCUUUUGAUUCAUACAUAUAUAGCCACGAUGUACCACAAUGCCCAAACUGUGUAAUUGCUGGAUAAAAUGGCAAUUCUGUUUAAUGUAUAUAUAUAUAUAUGCAUAUGUGUGCA